rnacentral:rRNA from 1 species
UAAGCGGAGGAAAAGAAACUAACCAGGAUUUCCCCUAGUAAUGGCGAAUGAAGCGGGAACGGCUCAAAUUUAAAAUCUGCGUCGCUUGCGACGCCGAAUUGUAGUUUCUAGAAGCACUUUCUAGGCGGGCCCGGUUCCGUCCAAGUCGCCUGGAACGGCGCGUCGCAGAGGGUGACAACCCCGUCCGCGGCGGGACCGGCCGCUCAUGAUGUGCUUUCGACGAGUCGGGUUGUUUGGGAAUGCAGCCCAAAAUGGGUGGUAAACUCCAUCUAAAGCUAAAUAUUGGCACGAGACCGAUAGCGAACAAGUACCGUGAGGGAAAGAUGAAAAGCACUUUGAAAAGAGAGUUAAACAGUACGUGAAACCGUUAAAGGGGAAACGGAUGGGGUCAGCAGUGCGCUCCGCGAGAUUCAGCCGGUUGGCACGUCGGGCGGGCGGUUGGCGGAUCUGAAUGGACCGCGGCCGUUCGGUUCGACGGGCGGACCGUCGCACUUCUCGCGAGCGCGCGCCAGCGUCGGUUGUCGCCGGGUCUCAAAGUCGUGGGCAAGGUGAGCCGUCCCCCUCGGGGGGUGGCUGUUAUAGGCCCACUUCGCAUGGCCCGGGGGCGACCGAGGAGUCGCGGCGUGUGCCUCCCCCCCGGGGGUUGGCUGGGGUCCCGUCUCGCCGGUCGGCGGUCGAACGUGGUGGACUGCGUGCAGUGCGCCGCGACCGCCGCCGGUCGCCGGGACGGUGACUUAUCACCACGCGCCAAGGACGCUGGCGGUCAAAUGGCCUCAUUCGACCCGUCUUGAAACACGGACCAAGGAGUCUAACAUGUGCGCGAGUCUUCGAGUGAAUGAAGCUCGCGGGCGCAAUGAAAGUGAAGGUGGCCUCGUGUCGCCGAGGCGGGAGCCCGUCCCCUCGAGGGAGGGGUGCACCGUCGACCGACCUAUUCCGCUCUCGGGAAGGUUGA